GUUUACUUCCCAAGACUUCAGAAGGUAGUUUAAGGUGUUUGUUUUUAAAUAAAUAGUGGUGAAGUGUGAAUUCUUUCUUUAUUUUCUUUCUUUAAAGGGUGUACAUGAUGGUAACAGUGUGUUUUCAGUGUGAAUUCUUUCUUUAAAGGGUGUACAUGAUGGUAACAGUGUGUUUUCAGUGUGAGUUCUUUCUUUAAAGGGUGUACAUGAUGGUAACAGUGUGUUUUCAGUGUGAGUUCUUUCUUUAAAGGGUGUACAUGAUGGUAACAGUGUGUUUUCAGUGUGAGUUCUUUCUUUAAAGGGUGUACAUGAUGGUAACAGUGUGUUUUCAGUGUGAGUUCUUUCUUUAAAGGGUGUACAUGAUGGUAACAGUGUGUUUUCAGUGUGAGUUCUUUCUUUAAAGGGUGUACAUGAUGGUAACAGUGUGUUUUCAGUGUGAGUUCUUUCUUUAAAGGGUGUACAUGGUGGUAACAGUGUGUUUUCAGUGUGAGUUCUUUCUUUAAAGGGUGUACAUGGUGGUAACAGUGUGUUUUCAGUGUGUGCUUCAACCAGUCAAUAGUUCUGAUGGAUAAAACAUUUUUAAAAAGCUUAACACUUUCAGAUGUUCGUUUUUAUUUCAUUAGUGCUGUCACGUCAUACUUAAGACCAUUCUCUUAACUUAAAAUACCUUGUAUUUAGCAAACCAUUAAAGCUAUUUGUGUGUGUGUGUGUGUGUGUGUGUGUGUGUGCUCAUACGUGGGAAAAACUCCAGGU